GACGAACGCUGGCGGCGUGCUUAACACAUGCAAGUCGAACGGAAAGGCCUUGCUUUUGUGGGGUGCUCGAGUGGCGAACGGGUGAGUAACACGUGAGUAACCUGCCCUUGACUUUGGGAUAACUUCAGGAAACUGGGGCUAAUACCGGAUAGGAGCUCCUGCUGCAUGGUGGGGGUUGGAAAGUUUCGGCGGUUGGGGAUGGACUCGCGGCUUAUCAGCUUGUUGGUGGGGUAGUGGCUUACCAAGGCUUUGACGGGUAGCCGGCCUGAGAGGGUGACCGGCCACAUUGGGACUGAGAUACGGCCCAGACUCCUACGGGAGGCAGCAGUGGGGAAUAUUGCACAAUGGGCGGAAGCCUGAUGCAGCAACGCCGCGUGCGGGAUGACGGCCUUCGGGUUGUAAACCGCUUUCGCCUGUGACGAAGCGUGAGUGACGGUACCGGGAGAAGAAGCACCGGCUAACUACGUG
rnacentral:rRNA from 1 species